rnacentral:rRNA from 1 species
GACGAACGCUGGCGGCGUGCUUAACACAUGCAAGUCGAACGCUGAAGACCUGGCUUUUGUUGGGUUGGAUGAGUGGCGAACGGGUGAGUAACACGUGAGUAACCUGCCCUCUUCUUUGGGAUAACGCCCGGAAACGGGUGCUAAUACUGGAUAUUCACUGAUCUUCGCAUGGGGGUUGGUGGAAAGGUUUGUUCUGGUGGGGGAUGGGCUCGCGGCCUAUCAGCUUGUUGGUGGGGUGAUGGCCUACCAAGGCUUUGACGGGUAGUCGGCCUGAGAGGGUGACCGGUCACAUUGGGACUGAGAUACGGCCCAGACUCCUACGGGAGGCAGCAGUGGGGAGUAUUGCACAAUGGGCGAAAGCCUGAUGCAGCGACGCCGCGUGAGGGAUGGAGGCCUUCGGGUUGUAAACCUCUUUCGCUCAUGGUCAAGCCGCAACUGUGGGUUGUGGUGAGGGUAGUGGGUAAAGAAGCGCCGGCUAACUACGUG